rnacentral:rRNA from 1 species
GACUUGACAUCCGGGAUUUCUGGAAGCAGAGAAGUGCUUUAGCAAUAAGACCCGGUGACAGGUGCUGCAUGGCUGUCGUCAGCUCGUGUCGUGAGAUGUUGGGUUAAGUCCCGCAACGAGCGCAACCCUCGCCUUUAGUUGCCAGCAUUCAGUUGGGCACUCUAGAGGGACUGCCGGUGUCAAACCGGAGGAAGGUGGGGAUGACGUCAAGUCCUCAUGGCCUUUAUGUCUAGGGCUACACACGUACUACAAUGGCCGGUACAAAGGGCAGCCACUCAGCGAUGAGGCGCUAAUCCCAUAAAGCCGGUCUCAGUCCGGAUCGCAGUCUGCAACUCGACUGCGUGAAGUUGGAAUCGCUAGUAAUCGUAGAUCAGCAUGCUGCGGUGAAUACGUUCCCGGGUCUU